rnacentral:rRNA from 1 species
UCAGACGAUGCGUCAUGCAUAUCAAUAAGCGGAGGAAAAGAAACUAACAAGGAUUCCCCUAGUAACGGCGAGUGAAGCGGGAAGAGCUCAAAUUUGAAAUCUUAAAGGGUUUCCCUUUACGAAUUGUAGUUUAAAGAAGUGUUUUCUGUUGAGGUUUUGGUAAAAGUUCUUUGGAAUAGGACAUCAUAGAGGGUGAGAAUCCCGUAUUUGACCUUUACUUUCAACUUUGUGAUACACUUUCAAAGAGUCGGAUUGUUUGGGGAUGCAGUCCAAAAUGGGUGGUAAAUUUCAUCUAAAGCUAAAUAUUGGCGAGAGACCGAUAGCGAACAAGUACCGUGAGGGAAAGAUGAAAAGAACUUUGAAAAGAGAGUUAAACAGUACGUGAAAUUGUCAAAAGGGAAGCGUUUGACACCAGUGUUGUUUUUCUGAAAAUCAAUUAAAGAACUGUUUAUGCUAAGCUGUUUAGACUUUAUCAGCUAUCUGUUUAGUUUUGAGCUUUUCUUUAAUGCACUUUUCAGUUAACAAGUCAACAUCAAUUUCUUUUGCUGUAAAAAAGCUUGAGGAAGGUGGCUUGAGAUUCGUCUUAAGUGUUUAUAGCCUCUUGCCUAUGCAGUCGGAGAGAUUGAGGUCUGCAGCGUAGAUCCUUCGGGGCUAAAUGCAUUUGUGCUAAGUUAUAGCAUUUUAUAGACAACUUGUUGACUAUGAUUUGUCUUGUAGCUUACUCGCUUAUGUUAUUUUACCUACGCUUAGGAUGUUGAGCGCAUGUCUCUCUCU